rnacentral:rRNA from 1 species
UACUCCUACGGGAGGCAGCAGUGGGGAAUUUUGGACAAUGGGCGAAAGCCUGAUCCAGCCAUGCCGCGUGCAGGAUGAAGGCCUUCGGGUUGUAAACUGCUUUUGUACGGAACGAAAAGGUCUUUUCUAAUAAAGAAGGCUCAUGACGGUACCGCAAGAAUAAGCACCGGCUAACUACGUGCCAGCAGCCGCGGUAAU